UGGAGCUUGCACCGGCCGCUUGCAAGGAGAGUGAAGGUGUAUGCAUGCCCUUACGAUGGAUCUGUCCCUAGCGCAAUCCCCCAAUAUGGUUUUGGUCGGUCAUCGGCGGAGGCACAAGGUAGAUUGCGGUUCUGGUCGGUCAUGAGCGGUGCUACAAGGUAGAUCAAUUCCAUGGCCACCACAGAUUAUUGCAUGAUCUCCGGCUGUCAGCUCCCGAAUCAGGUACAUAUAAUUACUUAGUAGCGGAUGCAGCAAAUCUUUUUGCCCGAUCUGCCGUCAAUGAAGGAUUAGCAGGAAACGUGAUGAAGAUAAUCCCAAAUCAGGUAUAUAUAAUCCAUAUGCAUAAUUACUUAGCGGUGCAUGAAGAAAAUCGUCUUGCAUGAUCUGCCGUUAAUUGAGGAUUGGCAGGGAACAAGGGCAACAUAUUCUAGCGGCAGGGAUGGCUUGGAGGCGCUGACCUGCUACCGUGCUACGGCAUGAGACUCUCCUCCAGCACAUCCGAUCUUGCUGACCUGCUAGGGCAUGAGACUCUCCUCCAUCACGUCCGAUCUUUGUGAUCAAGUCCCGAACUGCUCCAAUAUCAGCACGUCUGUUGCAUGGUUUUUUGUUGCUGAAGAAUUUGCACGCAUAUGGUGCUUGAGAGAUUAGGUGCCAUGUAAACGCCUGGAAUCAGUACAGGGAUCCUACAUCAAAGAAAACAGCAACUGGGUCGAGGAACGGGCCAGCGAAGUAAGCGCGGACAUAGUUGAGGAAUGGGCAACGGACUAAUUAAGCGCGGACAUGUUGGGGGAACUGGCUAGCACAAGAAUUUUUGGAUGGGCACUUUAGGAGGCUAGGAGCAUCACCUUCAUGUUCGACAACAAGCUGCAGAAUGUUGCUGCAGUACAGUUGAGCGAAUUAAGGCCUCUGGCGUCGGCUGGGAAGAGUGAUCUAUUUGCCACCUAGAGAAUGGCAUGGGACCACAUCUUCUUAUUUUUACUUGGUCCAAGCCAGGUGCAUGAGUUGUGAAGCAGCUGGUCAUCCAAGGCAAUAUCUGGAAUAUACAUGCGAUACAUACAGCAAGUUACUCCAUCCAACCCAAUAUCUGGAAUAUACAUGCAAUACAUACGGCAAGUUCCUCCAUCUCUAAUUGUUUAAUCGUGUCUAUGUGGAAUUAGACAGCUACGGAUCUCCUAUAUUUUCCUCUCAAAAUUGCAUGGUAAUUUUCCAAUGAUAGUGGAGGGAUUGCAGUAUUCCUGCUGGCUAACAUGUACGUUAUGGCUUUAAAGCAGUGCAUUAUCUUAACAGAAUUUGGAAGAUCACAAUUACGUUUACAUAUGAAUGGUAUGGUUUCUAUAGGCAAACAGUGCAGAAAACAUAUUCAUUUGGUAGGUAUAUUCCGUUCCAAAAUUUGCAGUAUGCUUUUACUAACAUAUAUAACGUGCAUAUUGAUCUAUUGUUUCCGUGGUGCUCUUAAUUAGGUAAUAUCAUCUUUCAAAUUGGUGGCCCAGUUAGCUUUGCCAGAUAUCAUCCGCAAAAAAAAAAAAACUUUGGCAGAUAGCAUCAUGCAUAGCUACUGUAGUUUGCUGCUCUGCGACUAGCUGACAUGUCGUUCUAUCUCGUGUAGGUUUAAUUCCAAUAAAAAAACGUUUGUAAAUAUCCAUACUAAAAUUUCUAAUGAUUUUCUAAUUGGAAGGUCCUCUUGCUAAAAAAAGAGAAUGGUGUUGAUACCCGACAUGCCCUGUUUUGAUAUACCGCCUCAAAUUGAUCAUGAGCAAGUCUAUCAGCGGAUACAUGUCCACUGUGUCUUUGCUCUUCUGCAUGGUCCCCGCGAGAAGUUCGAUCAAUGUUCAUGACUAAGACUCGGGGAUCAGCGAUCCCCUAGACGUGCAUGCAAAGAUGAAGACAAUGGCUCCCCAUAAUGAUGCAAGUGCAAUGAGUCCACGUGCAACAACCUGAUUAGUAUCUUUUAUCAAGAGGAUACCAACCUUCAUACCCGGCGUGAGGCCAGACUUGCCGCAAGCACAUGUCUUUUAUAGGAGUUUAGAGAAUGUCAUCUAACGUAAAUUAUUUAUUUAGAAAUAGAUGUGCACUAUAUGCUUGAGCUAGGCUAUUAUCUGGUCGCUCGAUUUGACUUCUUUGCUUCCACAGAUAAUCGUCCUCACGCUUAAGA